rnacentral:lncRNA from 1 species
UAAGAAUUGCCAUGGAUGAAGAUUUGAGGGCCCUGGGACAAUCUAUUUCCAAGCUUGAAGAGUCUUUGACUUCCUUCUCAGAAGUAGUCUUACAGAAUAGAAGGGGAUUCGAUUUGUUAUUCUUAAAAGAGGGAGGAUUAUGCGCUGCUCUCAGAGAAGAGUGUUGUUUUUAUGAAGACCAUUCAGGAGUAAUUAAAGACUCCAUGAGUAAACUUAAAGAGAGAUUAGACAAAAGACAGAGACAGAGACAGAGAGAGAGAGAGAUGCAUCAGGGAUAGUUUGAAAAUUGGUUUAGUAGAUGUCCUUGGAUGACUACUUUGAUAUCUACCCUUAUGGGACCCCUUUUGAUUUUGCUUCUGCUUUUAAUUAUAGGUCCAUGUAUAUUAAAUAAGUUAGUUACCUUUAUUAGAGAAAGAGUGAGUGCUGUUCAGAUUUUGAUGUUACGUCAUGCUUUAGAAAGUCAAGAAAAGCUGAGCAGUGGUGACGCAUGCCUUAGAUCCCAGCACUUGGGAGGCAGAGGCAGGCGGAUUUCUGAGUUUGAGGUCAGCCUGGUCUACAGAGUGAGUUCCAGGUCAGCCAGGGCUACACAGAGAAACCUUGUCUCGAAAAAAAAAAAGGUCAAGAAAAUCAAUAUUAUGAAGGUACUGAAAUUUAGUUCUAUGAUUAGAACUAGCCACUAGAAAAAGUGGGAAAUGUAAGGUAGAAGAUUUAAGUUUGACCCCCUAGUCCAGUUGGAGCCAAGAAAAAUAGUUGGGCCCCGAAGCAGCCUGUUCCAGAAACUUGGCUGGCCACACCCUGUUCCAGGAGCUUGGCUGAGCACAAAAGUUAGAUUAAAAUCUUGAGAACAAUCUUGGGUUGUGGCUUUUUCCUUUAAAUACCCCCUUUCCCAACUACUCGGGGCCGAACUCCUCUACCCGUGUGUGGGAUACAAGUCGGCCCCAGCAUGCUGGUUCCUAUCAAUAAACCGCAUGUAAUUGUAGCAAGGAUGGUCUCUCGUGAGUUCUUGGGGGGUUGUGUCAUCCCGAGACUUGAGUGAGGGUCUCCCCUCUUUGGGGACCUUUCACAUCUCUUGAUUCAGUCUCAGUUUACACAGCGG